UUAGAUUUUCAGAUCGUGGGAGUAAGUUACUUACAUUCUCCUUAGUAGAAGCCCUUCACCUUGCAGUGUACUGAAUAAGGAUUGAAAGGUCAGAAGAAAGCAAAAAAGGUUGAGACUAUUGCAGCCACUGGAUUCACCUUCCUGCUCUGGCCUUCGGAGCAGACAAGCCUGUGUUUGCUGCUAGGUCUUGUUGGUACUUGGCAUCCUUUUUUUGUUUGGCACGGCCUGAACUAGCUCAAGUCCUGAAGCGCUGCUGCCACAGGAGCACGGCUCUGGGCAUACAGUAACAAGCUCUGCUUCCUGGAGACCCGUGCUGUGUCCUGACCAGAAGAGAGUGCUCAGUGGAAAUUACAGCUUGGGGUAAGGCUAA